CUGAGUACUACACUCUCUACCCUUUGUGAACUAUUAUACCUGUUGCUUCGGCGGCGCCCGCGAGGGUGCCCGCCGGUCUCAUCAGAAUCUCUGUUUUCGAACCCGACGAUACUUCUGAGUGUUCUUAGCGAACUGUC
rnacentral:misc_RNA from 3 species